rnacentral:rRNA from 1 species
AUUGAACGCUGGCGGCAUGCUUUACACAUGCAAGUCGAACGGCAGCACAGAGGAGCUUUCUUCUCUCCGGUCGCGUGGCGAAGACGUGUGUGAUAUACAGCGACGUCUACAGAUGCGGGGGGGAUAACGCCGGGAGACUGGCUCUUACAGCAUAAAUUAUCUACAAGAAAAAUGAGGACCUCUUCAUACGUUUCGCGCUUUUUUAAGGGCCGAUGUCGGAUUAGCUAGUUGGUGGGGUAAAGGCUCACCAAGGCGAAGAUGUGUAGCUGGUCUGAGAGGAUGAUCCGCCACACUGGAACUGAGACACGGUCCAGACUCCUACGGGAGGCAGCAGUGGGGAAUUUUGGACAAUGGGCGCAAGCCUGAUCCAGCCAUGCCGCGUGGAUGAAGAAGGCCUUAGGGUUGUAAAGUACUUUUGUUGGGGAAGAAAAGUAAGCUGUGAAUAAUGGCUUAUACUGACGGUACCUAAAGAAUAAGCACCGGCUAACUUCGUG